GAGUAACACGUAUCCAACCUGCCGAUGACUCGGGGAUAGCCUUUCGAAAGAAAGAUUAAUACCCGAUGGCAUAGUUCUUCCGCAUGGUAGAACUAUUAAAGGAUUUCGGUCAUCGAUGGGGAUGCGUUCCAUUAGGUUGUUGGCGGGGUAACGGGCCCACCAAGCCUUCGAUGGAUAGGGGUUCUGAGAGGAAGGUCCCCCACAUUGGAACUGAGACACGGUCCAAACUCCUACGGGAGGCAGCAUG
rnacentral:rRNA from 1 species